rnacentral:rRNA from 1 species
UACAGAGGUGGCAAGCGUUGUUCGGAAUUACUGGGCGUAAAGGGCGCGUAGGCGGCCCGUCAAGUCCCGUGUGAAAGCCCCCGGCUCAACCGGGGAACGGCGCGGGAAACUAGCAGGCUUGAGUUCGGGAGAGGGAAGCGGAAUUCCGGGUGUAGCGGUGAAAUGCGCAGAUAUCCGGAGGAACACCGGUGGCGAAGGCGGCUUCCUGGACCGACACUGACGCUGAGGUGCGACAGCGUGGGGAGCAAACAGG